rnacentral:snRNA from 1 species
GUACUCGCUUCGGUGGUACAUAUACUAAAAUUGGAACGAUACAAAGAAUAUUAGCAUGGCCCCUGCUCACGGGGAUGACACGCAAAAUCGUGAAGCGUUCUAUAUUUUU